CCCAACUGCUGGUAUUAGCUUCUCGCCAUCAAAUGACAAGGUCUCAUGUUUAUUUUAUUGAGUUACAGACAGUUCUUCCCCUCUUCCUUCAUUUGAUCAUAUGAAAAAAGAAACUGAAUUACUUAUCUCCUUUAGAAUGGGGAGACUUAUUUGAGGAUGUAAGUUGUGGUAGAUAGCUAAGUAUUCUGCUGUUUCUAACAUUUUUCCCCGUGCAGAUAAUAGCUAGUGUUGGACUGG
rnacentral:misc_RNA from 1 species